CCUUGUUUCCCUUAAAACAGUGGUUCCCAAACUGGGGUUCACGAAUGCCUGGAGGUUCGCAGAACAUUACAGGGGGUUCGCCAGAAAAAUUUCACUAAUGGCGGCCAGAGGACCCAAGGCAUUGGAGGCAGCAGGUGGGACCCAGUUAAAGGGCAGACAGCCCGAGCCCCAG